rnacentral:rRNA from 1 species
CCUACGGAGUGCAGCAGUGAGGAAUAUUGGUCAAUGGGAGGAAUCCUUAACCAGCCAUGCCGCGUGCAGGCCAACGGCUCUACGAGUUGUAAACUGCUUUUGUACCGGGGUAAAAUGCUCUACGAGUAGGAUUUUGAAAUUACGGUACGAAUACGGAUCGGCUAACUCCGUGCCAGCAGCCGCGGUAAUACGGAGGAUCCGAGAGUUAUCCGGAUUCAUUGGGUUUAAAUGUUGAGUAGGUUGUUUUAUAAGUUAGCGGUGAAAUACCGAUGCGCAACAUCGGGGCUGCCGCUGAUACUGUAGGAAUAGAGAUCGGAUGCAGCAGGCGGAAUGUGUAGUGUAGCGGUGAAAUGCAUAGAUAUUACACAGAACACCGAUUGCGAAGGCAGCUUGCUAGGCCGGAUCUGACACUGAUGCACGAAAGCGUGGGGAUCGAACAGGAUUAGAUACCCUAGUAGUC